rnacentral:rRNA from 1 species
CUACGGGGUGCAGCAGUGGGGAAUAUUGGGCAAUGGGCGCAAGCCUGACCCAGCAACGCCGCGUGAGGGAAGAAGGUUUUCGGAUUGUAAACCUCUGUCCUUGGGGACGAAGAAGUGACGGUACCCAAGGAGGAAGCUCCGGCUAACUACGUGCCAGCAGCCGCGGUAAUACGUAGGGAGCAAGCGCUGUCCGGAAUUACUGGGCGUAAAGGGUGCGUAGGCGGCAUAUUAAGUCAGGUGUGAAAUACUCGGGCUCAACCCGGGGGCUGCAUUUGAAACUGAUAUGCUUGAGUGUGAGAGAGGAAAGUGGAAUUCCUAGUGUAGCGGUGGAAUGCGUAAAUAUUAGGAGGAACACCAGUGGCGAAGGCGACUUUCUGGCUCAUAACUGACGCUGAGGCACGAAAGCGUGGGGAGCAAACAGGAUUAGAUACCCUUGUAGUC